CCACGAGGCCAGUUCCCAGCUGCUGAGCAGCGUUCUGGAAGUGCUGGACAGGAAAGAUGUGGGCCCCACAGCUCUGCACAUCCAGCUGAUCAUGGAGCGCCUGCUGAGGAGGAUCAACCGCACGGUGAUCGGGAUGAGCCGCCAGUCCCCUCACAUCGGUAUUUUCGUGGCCUGCAUGACAGCCAUCCUGAGGCAGAUGGAAGAUUUCCAUUACAGCCAUUACAUCAACACUUUCAAAACCAAGCAGGACAUUAUUG